rnacentral:lncRNA from 1 species
AACAUUGUUUAGUAAAUGGUCGAAUUAUUGAGCUUUUCAAAGAAGUGAAUUCAUACUGUACGAAUAUGCAACACGCUAUAAUAAUCAUUAUCUUAUCUGAUACGAUAAAACAGUGAUAAGAUUAAUCAUACAAUUACGACAAACUGAACCGUGUGGGAUGCUUUCCAGUGCCUUCAGCAAGUGUUCAGGAAGACUGCAAGAUCUCUGUAUUUGGCAAAUGCAAAGUUUGUUUUGACUGUAAUGUCAGAUUGAACAAAAUUAUCAGGAAAAAUGGGAGAUUUUUGACAAGUUGCCGGCUUCCUGUCGUCGCCAAGCCGACUAGAGAUAUAGUGGCCCUCAGGAGCGCAAGGCGGGAGCGGCGAGCCUACUGAACCCACUUCCUGGCGGGGCUCACCAACCAAGACGCAGCAGGAGGCGCACCUAUAGCGGUACCCCCAACCGAAAACCACCAUAACUCUAGGGGAAACAGUCAAACUACCAAUACAUUUCAGAGCUGCAAUGAUGGCCGUAGAUGACGAUGUAGAGGAGGAGGAAGAUGAUGCAGAGGACGAAGACGACGACGAGGAUGCCAGGACAGUGUGUUGUAGAGGUGAGCAUAAAGCCCUGCUAUGGUAAGUGUUUGAACUACCUGCUGUGGCUCUGCACGAGGUUCUGAGGGAUCUCGUCUCCCUACUUCCCGCAAAAGGGCUUCCACCUUGGCCCUCUCCGCUGCUACAAGCUCCUGAGCUCGGGCCUCUGCUGCACCGACAGCUCGCUGCACUUCAGCUACAGCUGCUCUCCGAACUUCUGACACAGCUUCCUCUGGUAGAAAUUAGACUGGGCCACAAGCUCAGCAGCAUGACGCCGUACCUCUGCAUCAUAAUCGGCCCGCUGUCGAAGGUCUGUGGCACCCAUACUGCCUACUCUGGAAAUGCCACUGCCCCCAUCACGCUCUUCCUUUUGUUGUAGCAUGCACGGCGGGCGAGGGUUUGCAGUUCACGUUGUAGGAAAGGCAAGUGAGAACGCAGGAAGGGCAGCACAAAUGGGCGGAGAGGAAAGUGCGUCACCUCCUGCAAACUUCCAUGAAACUCCUCUACACUCACUC